rnacentral:rRNA from 1 species
AUUGAACGCUGGCGGCAGGCCUAACACAUGCAAGUCGGGCGAGCGGCGGACGGGUGAGUAAUGUAUGGGGACUGCCUGAUGGCGGGGGAUAACUACUGGAAACGGUGGCUAAUACCGCAUACUAUCGGAUAACCCAUAUGGGAUUAGCUAGUAGGUGGGGUAAAGGGUCACCUGGGCGACGAUCUCUAGCUGGUCUGAGAGGAUGAUCAUGCAACCUGUGACAGAGACACGGCCACGACGCCUAGGGAGGCAGGAGUGGGGAAUAUGGCACAAUGGGCGAAAGCCUGAUGCAGCCAUGCCGCGUGGAUGAAGAAGGCCUUAGGGUUUUAAAGUACUUUCAGCGGGGAGGCGUUACCCGCAGAAGAAGCACCGGCUAACUCCGUGCCAGCCGCCGCGGUAAUUC